rnacentral:rRNA from 1 species
AUUGAACGCUGGCGGCAUGCCUUACACAUGCAAGUCGAACGGCAGCACGGGAGCAAUCCUGGUGGCGAGUGGCGAACGGGUGAGUAAUAUAUCGGAACGUGCCCAGUCGUGGGGGAUAACGUAGCGAAAGCUACGCUAAUACCGCAUACGAUCUACGGAUGAAAGCGGGGGAUCGCAAGACCUCGCGCGAGUGGAGCGGCCGAGAACAGAUUAGGGAGUUGGUGAGGUAAAGGCGCACCAAGCCGACGAUCUGGAGAUGGUCCGAAAGGACGACCAGCCACACUGGGACUGAGACACGGCCCAGACUCCUACGGGAGGCAGCAGUGGGGAAUUUUGGACAAUGGGCGCAAGCCUGAUCCAGCAAUGCCGCGUGCAGGAUGAAGGCCUUCGGGUUGUAAACUGCUUUUGUACGGAACGAAACGGUGAGCUCUAAUACAGUUUGCUAAUGACGGUACCGUAAGAAUAAGCACCGGCUAACUACGUGCCAGCCGCCGCCGUAA